rnacentral:rRNA from 1 species
AUUGAACGCUGGCGGCAUGCCUUACACAUGCAAGUCGAACGGCAGCACGGGAGCUUGCUCCUGGUGGCGAGUGGCGAACGGGUGAGUAAUACAUCGGAACGUACCCUGAAGUGGGGGAUAACGUAGCGAAAGUUACGCUAAUACCGCAUAUUCUGUGAGCAGGAAAGAGGGGGAUCGCAAGACCUCUUGCUUUAGGAGCGGCCGAUGUCGGAUUAGCUAGUUGGUGAGGUAAAGGCUCACCAAGGCGACGAUCCGUAGCGGGUCUGAGAGGAUGAUCCGCCACACUGGGACUGAGACACGGCCCAGACUCCUACGGGAGGCAGCAGUGGGGAAUUUUGGACAAUGGGCGCAAGCCUGAUCCAGCCAUGCCGCGUGAGUGAAGAAGGCCUCGG